GGAUGAUGAGUUACAGUAAGACUAGACACAUUCCUUCACAUGGAGGCUGAUGAAGUAACCCAGUAGAAAGAAAUGAUCCCUACACCAGGCAAGGAUUUCCCACUGGGACACGGGGAUACGGAAAGGAAAGUGGAGGACCCAAAAACUUCUCUUUUUUCAGAUUACAAAAGAAUCAAAAAUGGGGCAGAAACUGAAGGAAAGGCCAUCCAGAGACUGUCCAACCAUGUGAUCCACUCCAUCUGCACACACCAAACCCCAACACUGUUGCUGAUUUCAAGAUGUGCUUGAAGACAGGAACCUGGUAGGGCUGUCCUCUGAGAGGCUCUGCCCCCACCUGACUGAGACAAAUGCAAAUAUUCACAGCCAAACAUUGGACUGAACCCAAGGUCCCCAUUCUAAGAGUUAGGAGAAGGGCUGAAGGAGCUGACGGGGAUCGCAACCUCAUAGGAAAGACACCAGUAUCACUUAACCAGACCCCUCGGAGCUCCCAGGAAAUAAACCGCCAACCAAAGA